rnacentral:tRNA from 1 species
GAGUAUGACUGGGAUAAUUGAGAAUUGCUAAUUCUCUUACCCGUGGUUCAAUUCCACGGCCUACUCG